UGUCCGAAAGUGAAAAGCAGAGGAGCGCUUCAGCUAUGAAAAAUUCACAAUUCCUUCUGUGCCGAUGCUGAUUAGUGGUGUCAGAAGAGGAUCUCAACUCUCAACCGAGGUCUGAGCUGGCUCUGGAAACCCUGGGUGGACGGUGGUGGGCGAGUAGGAAAGCGAGGUCGGGGGUUGCUAAGACCCCCUUUGCGCCCUCCUAUUAAGGCAAAAUGAGGCGCGGUGCCAAAAUGCACCGAAGGCACAGUAAAGUCAGGUAGUGGGACUGGAGUCAUGCAUCUCUGGGGUCUCCAGAGCGACCCCCUUAGGAAUAUUCCGGGCAGGUUCUCAGAUGGGAGUGGUCAGGGCUGGCCUGGAAGUAUGCAGGUUUAGGACUCCGGAGUUCAGCUCCACCCCUGGGUUACCUUGGAGAAACCACUUUACAUCUCUGUGCUCCCUCAUUUUCUCACCUUUAAAAGGGGGGAGCCUUCUUCGCAAAGCCCUACGUUGUCCUAUUUUCUGUUCUUUUGCCUUUGUUAGAAAACAAAAUUCGUUGGAGUAAAUUUGAAGAUCUAAUUGGCUUUUUUUUUUUAAUUUUUUUUUUUUAAAGAUUUUAUUCAUUUAUUUGAGAGAGAAUGAGAUAGAGAGAGCAUGAGAGGGGGGAGGGUCAGCGGGAGAAGCAGACUCCCUGCCGAGCAGGGAACCCGAUGCGGGACUCGAUCCCGGGACUCCAGGAUCAUGACCUGAGCUGAAGGCAGUCGCUUAACCAACUGAGCCACCCAGACGCCCCUCUAAUUGGCUUUAUUACACGAGUCAUGAAUCGGGCAGCAUCCCAGAGUUACACAACAGGAGACAUUUCCUAAAAGUCCAGAUAACAGCAGUCGGCCACAGCUGAGUCUUGUUCGAUGUUUUUUGUAUGGUUUGGGACCAGAAAGCCAAAUGUAGGCUCCACACCCAGCAUGGAGCCCAAUGUGGGGCCUGAGCUCACAACCGUGAGAUCAAGACCUGAGCCGAGAUCAAGACCUGAGCCGAGAUCAAGAGUUGGAUGCUACACCGACUGAGCCACCCAGGUGUCCCUCCCUCUUUUUUUUUUUUUUUUUUUAAAGAUUUUAUUUAUUUAUUUGACAGAGACAGAGAUAGCGAGAGCAGGAACACAAGCAGCGGGAGUGGGAGAGGGAGAGCAGGCUUCCCGCCGAGGAGGGAGCCCGAUGUGGGGCUCGAUCCCAGGACCCUGGGAUCAUGACCUGAGCCGAAAGCAGACGCUUAACGACUGAGCCACCUAGGCGCCCUCCCUCUUUUUCUUAACCAUAUUUAAUUAAGUCUAUUAUUUCUUGCCCUUUCUUUUAAUUUAUUUUAAAGAUUUUAUUAUUUAUUUGACAGAGAGAGCACAAGCAGAGGGAGAGAGAGGGAGAAGCAGGCUCCCUGCUAAGCAAGGAGUCCGAGGUGUGACUCGAUCCCAGGGCCCUGGGAUCAUGACCCGGGCUGAAGGCAGCCGCUUAACCGACUGAGCCACCCAGGCAUCCCUAUUUAUUAUUUUUUUUAAAGAUUUUAUUUAUUUAUUUGACAGAGACACAGCGAGAGAGGGAACACAAGCAGGGGGAGUGGGAGAGGGAGAAGCAGGCUUCCCGCAGAGCAGGGAGCCCGAUGCGGGGCUCUGUCCCAGGACCCUGAGAUCAUGACCCGAGCCGAAGGUAGAUGCUUAACAGUUGAGCCACCCAAGCGCCCCUCUUUUAUUUUUUUUAAAAGAUUUUAUUUGUCAGAGAAAGCGAGUGGACAAGUAGGGGGAGCAGCAGGGAAAGGGAGAAGCAGGCGAGCAGGAAGCCUGACGCGGGGCUCGAUCCCAGGACCGCGGGAUUAUGACCUGAGCCGAAGGCAGACACUUAACCAACUGAGCCACCCAGAUGUCUCUAUUUCUUGCUCUUUCUAUCUGUUCUUUCAUAUUCUAGUGUUUCUUAUACAGAAAGGUUUCUGAUCUUAUCUUAAACCCAAACCUUUUAAGUAGGAACAAGUAUCUACUAACUAGUAUCUUCUAACAGUUGUUCCCAAAUAUACAUUGAUUGAGAUAAAUAUUUCAUUAUAAGUCACUGCUUAAAAAUUUUAGUGCUAAGUUUAUUUUUUUUUGAGUUUGUAGGUACUUUUAUUUCAUGUCUACCAAUUUUAUUCCAGAAUAUUGUAGAGGAUAUUAUAAAUAUUUGUUAUAGAAAUGGGAUGUUAGAUCUGUCAAGGUUGAGAACCAUCACAUUACAUUGUUAUAUACAUCAUUCUUGUAACUUCCUCCUCCUACACUGGGUGGAAGGUUAAACUAGAUGGCUUCUAAAAGUCUGUGAACCACAAUCUCCUCUUGGCCUUCCACAGGUAUCCUCCUGUGUUAUUUUAGAUAGCUCCACCCAACCCAAAUAUUAUUCCCAAGAGCAGACUUAGUUCUCAUCUCUUAAAUGAUCAGAUCUCUAGUUUAUACUGAAGCUUACACCAGUUUUUACUCAUUUUGGUCAUUACCUUACUUCCUGAACCACCAACAUGGUUUUUCUUUUUCAAAUUAAGAGAGCAUUCUCAAAAGGUGCCCCUCUCCAAAAACUUAAGUGAUAAUAAACCUUCUCUGAGACCUCUCUGGUGCUGGAUUAAAAAUCUCCUUUCUAUAUUGCUUCUGAGAGACCAGAAUAUUUAGUUCUCCUCUCCUCUCUGGGCUCCAAAUUCUUUAAGUCUGCCUCUAGGCUAUUUGUCUCAUCCCUAAAAACAAGUGUUUCUAAGCAUCAGCCCUCUACUCUUUGCAUUCUAUUUCUGCAUAAGCCAACCUAUUCUAAUAGCUUCAAGUGUCACUGCUCUACUCUUACCUCUAAGCUCCUACUUUGGCAACACCUACUAAACUGCCCCUCUGGCUCCCUGGUUUUCUUCUGAUUGUCUGGCAGUUGCCUUGAACUCAAGAGGUUCUAAGCCACUCGUUAUCUUCCCUCAAAACCUCUAAACCAUGUUCUUUACACUUUACAACUUCUCCAUUUCUCUAUUUUUCAAAACAUGGUUUUAUCCUUGGCAUUCUUCCUUUAUAUCUCAUCUUCUAAUCAAGUCCUAUUUCUACCUUUGAAACUUCUCUAGCAUUUAUCCCUUCUUUUCCACCCCUACCUCCAUCUCCUAAGAUCAACUGCUCCAGUAUUUUCUUCCUCUCUUCAGGGUUUCCCUUAUCCUUUAAUGCAUGCUAUACCUUGCUAUCAAAUCUUCCUAAUAUGCAGCUUCAGCAAGUUUUCCUCUCUUCAAAAGUUUCCACAGCUUCUAAUACCCUCAAAGUAAUGUCCAAAAUUCUUCUGGUAUCCAAAACUUUUAGUUUUAGUCACUGUAUCCAAAACUGCCUUCUUAGUUCUUCAGUUCUCUCUGCUUCAGCUGAAACAGGCUUAGGGAUCAUAACUUCUGUUCUCCUGUGGUACCUGGCAUAAUGCUGGUGUUAAAGAUUUAAUUUACUUAAUUUAUUAUCAGUCACAAAAGUAUUUUCAUGGUCAUUCAUUUCCAAACAACACACAUUUUGAUCGGUGACUACUAUGUGACAAGCACUAUGCUAGGCACCAGAAAUAAAAAGAUGAAGAUAUAUGGAUCUGUAUCUCAAGGAGCUCCAGGUAUAAUAGAGGAGUGUUAAGCACAUCAUUAAAAUAUAACACAACCAACAGUGCCUGGCUCGUAGGAGACACUAAAAUGUUUGCCAAUUUACAUAUAGAAUAUUGCUAUCCUAUGAAGUUAAAAUGUGGGAUCCAGCCUUAGGGUUAAAAAUUUCUAUGGGGAGCCUGGGUAGCUCAGUUGGUUAAGCGACUGCCUUCGGCUCAGGUCAUGAUCCUGGAGUCCUGGGAUCGAGUCCCGCAUCGGGCUCCCUGCUCGGCAGGGAGUCUGCUUCUCCCUCUGACCCUCCUCCCUCUCAUGCUCUCUGUCUCUCAUUCUCUCUCUCUCAAAUAAAUAAAUAAAAAAUCUUAAAAAAAAAAAAUUUCUAGAGGUAAGGACUACAAAGUGAAUUAAUAGUUUAUACAAAUCCAGGUGAACUGUGACUGGUUGGGAAAAUGUCUAUUCUCUGUUAUUUCUGUUAAGUUUUAUACACGCUGAUUUGAUAUAACCAUGUGAUAAACAAUUUUCUGUACAGGAAAAGUGAUCCUGUAUACAUACCC